UGGCUCUCUAGCCACUGUGCCAUCAAGCUGCCCCUCUAUAUCUCUUCUUUCAUGAAGUUUCUUCUACUUCUAGAUUUGAUUGGUAUUUCCUCUCAUGUUGUUCCAAUUUAUUUAUGAUAUCACGCUUUAUUUAUAAAAAUGUACCAGGGAGUGUGUCUUGGUAUAUGGUGUGAGAUGAUGAUCUCUGCCUAGUUUCUGCCAGAUCACUUUUCAGUUUUUCCAAUCAUUUCUGUCAGAUAGUGAGUUCCUGCUCCAAUAGUUGGGGUCUUUGGUUUGAUCAAACACUAGGUUCCUGUGCUCAUUUGCUUCUGUUUAUUGUGUAUCCAGUGCAAAAUUGGCUUUUUUAAGCCCUUACUUUCUGGCUUAGAAUCAAUGCUGUAUAAGACAGAAGAAUAAUCAGGGCUAGGCAAUGGGUAUUAAAUGGCUUGCCCAUCAUCACGCAGUUAGGAAGUAUCUGAGGUCAGAUUUGAAUUCAGGAUCUCCCAUCACUAGGCCUGGCUGGCUCUCAAUUCACUGAAUCACGCAGCUGCCCCCUGACCAAACUCUUUUGAGUGAUUAUGGAUCUCAUUUGAGAGGUCAUCUGGAGUUUGAUAUGAUCUGCCUCAAAUCACUGGCACACAGGACUAUCCGGAAGACAUCCCACUGCUUCCAGCCUCAAGAGGGAAGAUGUGUCAUUACAGAUUUCCUGGAGGGAGAGAAAAGCUCUAAGAAGAAGCCAAUGUGCUGAGGGACCAGCUCUUCAAUCCUCAUGAUAUGCGUGGAACUGUGGCUAUGAGAACUGAUGAAUGGGAGGGUUUGGGAGAAACCUGGAAGACUUGUGUGAACUGAUACAAAGUGACGUGAGCAGAACCAGGGGAACAACUUAUACACUGACAGAAAUGUUUUAAAGAUAAGCAACUUUGAAAGUCUUAAGCAAUCCAAUCAAUUUAAAGAUCCACCAAGACUCCAGAUGCAUGAUGAAACAUGCUACCUGCCUCCUGGCAGAGAGGGGAUGGACUCAGGAUGCAGAUGAAGACAUAGAUUUGGAUCUGGUCAAUAAGAUGAUUUAUUUUUCUCAGCAAUAAAUAUUUGUGACAUA
rnacentral:lncRNA from 1 species